rnacentral:rRNA from 1 species
AGGACGAACGCUGGCGGUGUGCUUAACACAUGCAAGUCGUGCGACGAACCAGACUUCGGUCUGGGGCAAAGCGGCGAACGGGUGAGUAACACGUGGGUAAUCUGCCCCGAUGACUGGGACAACCCGAGGAAACUCGGGCUAAUACCGGAUGUGGUGCCUGGACUCAAGUCCGGUCACUAAAGGUAGCUUCGGCUUCCGCAUUGGGAGGGGCCCGCGGCCCAUUAGCUUGUUGGUGGGGUCAAGGCCUACCAAGGCAACGAUGGGUAGCUGGUCUGAGAGGACGAUCAGCCACACUGGGACUGAGACACGGCCCAGACUCCUACGGGAGGCAGCAGUGGGGAAUCUUGCGCAAUGCGCGAAAGCGUGACGCAGCAACACCGCGUGAGGGAAGACGGCCUUAGGGUUGUAAACCUCUUUCAGAUGGGACGAAGGUGAUGCGGUGAAUAGCCGAUGUCAUUGACGGUACCGUCAGAAGAAGCUCCGGCUAACUACGUG